UACGUAGGGUCCAAGCGUUAUCCGGAAUCACUGGGCGUAAAGCGUGCGUAGGUGGUUUGUUAAGUGAGAUGCGAAAUCCUGUGGCUCAACCAUAUGGACUGUUUCUCAUACUGGCAAACUUGAGGAUGGUAGAGGCAAGUGGAACUGGCAGUGUAGCAGUGAAAUGCGUAGAUAUUGCCAAGAACACCAAUGGCGAAGGCAGCUUGCUGGGCCACACCUGACACUAAGGCACGAAAGCGUGGGGAGCGAACAGG
rnacentral:rRNA from 1 species